UACUGUUCAUGAUGACUUUUAUAAAACAAUGGGAAUCUCUCUGAAAAGACUGAAAGACAUCAGCGUACUGAAACAGAA